AUCGCUUCUCGGCCUUUUGGCUAAGAUCAAAGUGUAGUAUCUGUUCUUAUCAGCUUAAUAUCUGAUACGUCUCCUAAUGGAGACAUCGAUAUUAAACUGAUUUUUAGAAUGGGAUGAGGUGCCACGGGGCUUGCUCCGCCCUCAUCACGGGUUGACCCGGUAUUGCAGUACCUCCGGGAAAUGGCCCACCACUC
rnacentral:snRNA from 1 species